UGAGGGCAGAGGAGAGGACUGGAUCUGAGGGCACCCUGCAGCCAGGACACCCGGCCCCAGGACCUUGGGCUGCUUAGCACUGAGAGGGCCCAGGACGGCUCUGGCUUCAGAGGAGCCUGGGGACCAGACGGCAGGCCAGGGCUCCCUCCCUGGGCCGUCCGCCUCCGUGGAGUGGGAGGGUGGCCCCCUGCCCCCGUCUCCUCAAGACUCUUCUUGGUCAGCGGCCACCCCCAUCCUCCCUGAAGGGGGGGGAUGCCCCCAUCUCCUUGGAAAUGCGGUCACAGCCAAAGGGCAGAGGCCACGCAGUCCAGCCUGGAAAAGCAGUGACUCACUCCAUCCCCCCUCCCCCCAGCCCAAUUCGGCUGUCACACUGGCUUGUGAAGGCCAGAGGGUCACAGAAGAAGGGGCUGUGGGGUGAGCAGGAAGGUUGCUCCUGGGCAGUGCUGGCCAGACCUGGGGUGGCCCCUGGCCCCGCUGGGCACCCAGAGCCCCUUCAAAGGUGCUGGGGUGGGGGUCGCGGAACCCGGGGGGCAGGACAGCAGCCUCUACUCUGCUUAAGUCUCAGCCAAGUUCCCUCUAAGGGGCCAAGAAAGGCAGCGCCUGCCAGCCAAGCGGACAUUUUCCUACCCGCCCGGCAGCCACAUGCGCCUCGGCCGCGACAAAGGCCACACUUGAAGGAGGAGCUCAGGAGGUGGCCCCUGUCGCGCUGGGGGCCUCUGCACGGUCCUUCGGGAAGGACAGACCCUGGAGGGGGCACCGACUGCGCGCAGUCGUCCCGCGCCCUCUCGGUCCCCCAAGCGGCCCCCACGGGAGAACUCGAGGCGGGAGGCACACGGGCCGGGGACUCGCCCAGAUCCCCUUCCUAUCCUGUGCGCUGGCUAGGGACCCGCAGGAAGCCCCCCGACCUCGCACAAAGGCCGGGAUUCGCCUGUUUUGAAACCCAGAGGCCUGCCACUCGCAGCUGCCCAGAGGGCAAAUCCUGGCGUCCGAGAUGGAAGAUGUGACAUAAGCAUCCUUCCUCCGAGGAAAUGGGUGCGGCACCUUCGUGAACACGGGCAGGAAGGAGCCUGCCUCAGACGGGUGAGAUGGAGCCUGCCUUGCCCGAGACAAAAAGAGAUGACCCCACGGCAGCAGGCGGCUUCUUCUAGCAUCACCCCGAGAAAUCACAAAGCGGGGGACAGAGCCUGACUCCCGGCGCCUCCAGCCGCCCCCGCCCCCGCCCCCGGAGCCUGGACAGGCACCUUCCUCUGGCAGGACCCCCCUCCCUCUCUGUAGCAUGGGGAGCGCCCCAUCCCGUCAGAAUCGCUGGGAACCAACCUAGAGGACGAGCCGGGGCGGGGAUGCAGGCAGCCACCCUCCAGCCGUCAGCACUGCUGUUCGUCUGCUGCCCCCUGGUGGGCACGGAGGGCACUGUCGCCACCUGGCUGCCCCUCGACUGGGACGCUCGCUGCCCAGCGGCAGGAAGAUCAGGUUUGGCCUGGAGAAUAGCCAAGUCAGGAGACGCAGGCCUCACUGCUGUGUGUUAGCCAAUCACAACACCUUCCUGAUCCCCAGUGUCCUACUGGGGACACUGACCCACCUGUGCACCUCACAGGGUUUGGGGGAGGCUCCGCUGGGUGGCUGGGUGUGCGUGAAUGAAUGACUGCACGAAUGGAACCUGAUAGGAACUCUCCUCCAAACACUGGGCGUGGGUGUCGUGAGCAGGUGUGGACUGUAUCAACUCAGAGUACACGUCAGGAAGAGGGGACGCCCCUGCAGGACAUCCUACCACCGGCCACAUCUUCUCAGACUCAGAGCUGUUUGCCGGGACCGCCCAUGGCACACCUCCAGGGGGCGCAAUUCCCAUCACAUUCUAGAGAGAUGGCACCCUGGAGAGGAGCCCACAGGCUACAAGUGAACGGUACCCUCUGGGAGUUGCCUCUCAGCUUGGCCCACCUUUAGCACCAUGAGUGAUGGCAGUUUUCCUUAGUGAGAAAGGCCCACACGAAGCACCGGGACAGUCCACAGGAGAGGCAGGAAGCUGGGCGUCCCAGUUCAGUGGCAUAGGUGAAACCCAUGGGGCAGGAAGUAAGGGAGGAGGGUCACAGGCCCCCACUUACCGGGCCCCUCAGCCUCCCCCUGCGCCACCCUUGCCCCCCUUCAGUCUGUCCUCGGCAGCCAGCAAGGACCCAGUGAAACCUUGGUGAGGCCCUGCCACUCUCCAGGGGGCAGGGGGCCCUUGGUGGCUUCCCCCUCACCAGAGAUAAAAUCAAAUCUCAUCGCUUGCAGGUCCCAUGUGGCACAUCCCCUCCCCGAUGACUCAUUCCCACAGCUCUCCAGCCACGCCCAGCGAUGGGCCUUUGCACGCCCAGCACGCCCAGCUCUCCAGCCACGCCCACCUCAGGGCCUUUGCACCUGCCACCCCUCUGCCUGGGAUUCUUGCCCAGAUGGCCACAUGGCUCACACCCUCACUUCCUCUGCUGACCCUCUCCCGCUCUGAGACUCAUUCUUCUCUGCAGUUUCCGCCCCGGUGUCUGUUGCUCCGUCUCAUCCCUCUAGACUGUCAUCUCUGUGGCAGCGGGGGCCAUCUCUGUCCUGUCCCCAGUUCACUCCCAGCAUUGCAAACUGGGCUCAGCCCCUGGUAGGUAGUCGAAAAAGAGUUGUUAAAUGAAACACCAAAUAAGGACCUCCCUGGCAGUCCAGUGGUUAGGACUCCGAGCUCUCACUGUGGGGGGCACGGGUUCAAACCCUGGUCCAGGAACUCAGAUCCCUCGAGCCGCGUGGCGCGGCCAAAAGAAAAAAAACUAAAAUGCCAAAUAAAUAAACCAACAGGUCAGCAAAGCACUGCAGCUACGACUUUAAAAUCCAGUAUCCUCUUUCGUAGAAGUCACAGAAAUGGGUAAAACUGAUACAAAGGUUUAAAAAAUGGGCUAUGUAAUCUGUUGAUGUGUAGCAUAUCUCACCAUUGUUAUGUGAAUCUGUAACAUUACAUCCUGUGAGAUUUGCACUGACUUAGCAUAUUAUUCUAAGUAUUCAUGACUGUAAUAGCCACUCCCGUUUCUUGAGUGCUGCGUGGCUGGCCUGAGGGCUUCGUAUGUGUCACGUGGCCUCCGUUAAGCCUCACAGUGAGGGUAAUAGUCAUUGUCUUGGGUGGUUAAACACAGAAACCGAGCACGCUGGGAGCUGCCCAGCAUCACCGAGCAAGGU